GAUGAACGCUAGCGGCAGGCCUAAUACAUGCAAGUCGAACGGUGUAGCAAUACACAGUGGCGCACGGGUGCGUAACACGUAUGCAACCUACCUAUUAUUGGGGGAUAGCCUUUGGAAACGGAGAUUAAUACCGCAUAAGACAGUGACAUGGCAUCAUGUAGCUGUUAAAGCUUCGGCGAUAAUAGAUGGGCAUGCGUCCAAUUAGUUAGUUGGUGAGGUAAUGGCCCACCAAGACGAUGAUUGGUAGGGGAUCUGAGAGGAUAAUCCCCCACACUGGCACUGAGAUACGGGCCAGACUCCUACGGGAGGCAGCAGUAGGGAAUAUUGGGCAAUGGGCGGAAGCCUGACCCAGCCAUGCCGCGUGCAGGAUGACGGCGUUAUGCGUUGUAAACUGCUUUUUUAUAGGAAGAAGAAGCCCUUGCGAGGGAAAGUGACGGUACUAUAAGAAUAAGCACCGGCUAACUCCGUGCCAGCCGCCGCGGUAAGAC
rnacentral:rRNA from 1 species